rnacentral:rRNA from 1 species
AUUGAACGCUGGCGGCAGGCCUAACACAUGCAAGUCGAACGAGUGGCGGACGGGUGAGUAAUGUCUGGGAAACUGCCUGCUGGAGGGGGAUAACUACUGGAAACGGUAGCUAAUACCGCAUACCAUCGGAUGUGCCCAGAUGGGAUGAGCUAGGAGGUGGGGUAAAGGCUCACAGAGGCAACGCGCCCUGGCGGGUCUGAAAGGAUGACAGGCCAAGCUGGUACUUGGACACGGUCCCGCCUCCUCCGAGAGGCAGCAGUGGGGAAUAUUCCACAUUGGGCGCAAGCCUUAUGCAGCCAUGCAGCGUGUAUGAAGAGGGCCUUCGGGUUGUAAAGUGCUUUCAUCAGGGAGGCAUUACCCGCACAGGAAGCACCGUCUAACUCCGUGCCAGCGGCCGCGGUAAUUC